AAUUAGUAUUCUCCCUACUAUGUAUAAACAUUAUUUGUUCAGUUACCAGGAAUUAACUUAUUAGUAACUAUUUUUGUAUAUUUACUUAUAUAUAAGUUUUAUUCUUGCUUUUCUAUUAAUUUUUUAAAUUAAUUAUAUGUUUUUCUAUUUAAUUUAUAUUUUUUUCAGUAAUAAAUAUUAUUAAUUAAUUUUAUUUUUAGUUAGAGAUUUAAUUAUACUAGAUUAAAAUUGUGCCAGCAUUCGCGGUUACACAAUUUAUUAAAAUUAAUGAUAUUAGGUUUUAAUAAUAUAAUUUAUGGGGAAUAUAUUUUUCAGUUUAGGUGGAAUUUACUUUAUUAAUUAUCUCCUUUAUUUAAUUUUUAACAAUUUUAAUUUAUUAAACUAGGAUUAGAUACCCUAUUAUUUUUCAUGAAAUUUAUAUCCUGAAUAUUAUCAGCUAUGUACUGUUAAACUCAAAGAAUUUGGCGGUUAUUUAUUUUCUCAGAGGAACUUGGUUUUUAAUUGAUAAACCACGAUAAAUUUUACUUAGUAGUUAUUUGUAUAUCUCUAUACUAUGGAAUGUUUUAAAAAAAUAUUUUCUUUAUUUAUAUUUAAAAUUAUAUUAGGUCAAGGUGCAGUUUUUAUUAAGUGAAUUUGAGUUACAUUAAUUUUAUAUACAAUGGAUAAAUUAUUUAUUAUAAUAUUUAAAAUAGAAUUUGAUAGUAAAUUUGAUUAAUUUUUUUUAUUGAAUUUUACACUAAAUUAUGUACAUAUUGCCCGUCACUCUCAUUUAAGUUGAGAUAAGUCGUAACAAAGUAAUUUUACUGGAAAGUGAAGUUAGAAAGUUUUU
rnacentral:ncRNA from 1 species